rnacentral:rRNA from 1 species
GACGAACGCUGGCGGCGUGUCUAACACAUGCAAGUCGAGCGAUGAAAUUCCUUCGGGGAUGGAUUAGCGGCGGACGGGUGAGUAACACGUGGGUAACCUGCCUCAAAGUGGGGGAUAACCUUCCGAAAGGAAGAUUAAUACCGCAUAAUAUUAGAUUUUCGCAUGAAGAACUAAUUAAAGGAGCAAUUCGCUUUGAGAUGGACCCGCGGCGCAUUAGCUAGUUGGUGAGGUAAUAGCUCACCAAGGCGACGAUGCGUAGCCGACCUGAGAGGGUGAUCGGCCACAUUGGAACUGAGACACGGUCCAGACUCCUACGGGAGGCAGCAGUGGGGAAUAUUGCACAAUGGGGGAAACCCUGAUGCAGCAACGCCGCGUGAGUGAUGAAGGUCUUCGGAUUGUAAAGCUCUGUCUUUUGGGACGAUAAUGACGGUACCAAAGGAGGAAGCCACGGCUAACUACGUGCCAGCAGCCGCCGUAAUAC